rnacentral:lncRNA from 1 species
ACGUAUAGCACAUACGCCCUUCCAAGCCUUAGGAUCUUCCAAUUCAAGUGUCUCAGGGGAUUUCCAUCAUGUAGCUUUGUUGACCUUCAGGUCCAUAUCAUCUUGACCUUCCGGUCCACAUCAUCAUUCUCAUAUCAUAACAUAUCACAUAUAACAUGCAUCAUAUAUACAUCAUAAACAUAAGACCUUCCAGUCACAUAUAAUUACCCAAUCGGGUACGGCAUAGUGAGAAAACUCACCUUACUGAUGUCGGAUAAUCACUCGUGCUUGAUCUCCCGACCUCUCGUCCUCCUAUAUCAUAAGUGCAUCUCUAAUUAAUACUUUUCCUGGCUUAUUUUGUCUAACACUAACAAGUCAACACUAGUCAACCCUGGUCAACGGUCAACCUUGACCCGACUCGUCGAGUCUUGCACAGACUCGUCGAGUCCAUAUGUUAAUUCAUUUCCUCUGUUUCCCUUCUGACUCACCCAGUCACUCACCCAACUCGGAAGGUCAUCAACUAGUCUGAGACACGAGACAACCCGCCCCGACUCGUCGAGUCUGAUCCUGGACUCGGCGAGUUCAUUCCAUGCACAUCCUCAAACAACUUCCUGAGGUCAGAUCCAGUCCUCUAACCUAUAGAUAUAUCAUUACCAAACCCAAUAACCACGUAAAGUUUCUAUCUUGAUGCACAUACAACAUCUAUUUGGUCAUAUAUGAUGAUUUAGCCACAAAAACCAUAACCCAAGGUCAUAACCUCCAUUGCUCUUCAUAAAGCUUAAUGAGUAAGGCUCUCUGGACCUUUAUGGAUCCAGAUCCAAAGCCUCAUCACCAAGAGGGACUAUUUGGUCAUCAAAUCUAACCAACAAAGGGUCUAAGAAACCCUAAAUCCAUAUGAUCAUCAUAAGAACAGAAGGAGAGUCGAAUUACUACCUCAAAUGUGAUGAUCUAAGCUUCAAAUCCACAGAAUAGCAACCUCCUUUGUUUCCCCUUGACUUGGAUCUCCUUCUUCUUGCUAAACAACACCACAAAACUCAAUAAUGGCUUCCUUUCUCUCCCAAAUCGCUUAAACACUCUAGGGUUUCUCUCUGAGAACAGGUAGCCGCAAAUGGAGGCCAUAAGGGCCUUUAAAUAGGUCCCAAACCCAAGAAAUUAGGGUUUCUUUUGCCAGCUCGGACUCGGCGAGUCACUCCCCCGGACUCGUCGAGUCCCCUCAUUAAACACAUCAUCCAAUCGCGACUAGACUCGAUGAGUCUAAGCACCAACUCGUCGAGUCGCCUAAAAAUGAAGAAAUUACAAUAUAAUUAAUAUACUUAGGAAACCGGGUGUUACAAUUCUCCCCCACUAGAAUCAGACUUCGCCCUCGAAGUCUCGCUCGAUAAAUAACUCGGGGUACUGCUCAUGCAUUUCUAACUUCGGUUCCCAAGUCAGCUCGGACCUCUUCCGAUGUUGGCACUGGACCUGAACCAAUGAUACCUACUUGUUCCUUAGAAUUUUGAUCCUCCUGUCCCGAAUCGCGAUCGGUCUCUCAAGAUAGUUCAGGCUCGCAUCCACCUGAAUAUCCUCUAAAGGAACCACAUCCGAUUCGUCGGCGAUACACUUCCUCAACUGAGAUACGUGGAAGGUAUCAUGAAUCUGACUCAACUCCGCAGGUAGCUCCAAACGAUACGCUACCCUGCCCACCCUAGUGGUCACCCGGAAGGGACCAAUAUAUCGAGGUAUCAACUUGCCCCUUUUCCUAAACCGAAUCACACCUUUCCAAGGUGAGACUUUCAGGAGAACAAAGUCACCCACCUGGAACUCGAGCUCUGACCGUCGUCUAUCCGCAUAAGUUUUCUGACGACUCUGGGUUGUCAAUAACCUCUGCCUGACCUGGUGAAUCUGCUCGGUCAUCUGAAGCACGAUCUCUGUACUACCCAUCACACGCUGCCCUACCUCUCCCCAGCAAAUGGGGGUCCGACACCUCCUCCCAUACAACAGCUCAAAGGGUGGCAUACCAAUGCUCGAAUGAUGGUUGUUGUUGUAGGAAAACUCUUCCAAGGGAAAGUACGUGUCCCAACUCCCGCCGAAAUCCAACACACUUGCUCGGAGCAUGUCCUCGAGCGUUUGAAUCGUCCGCUCACUCUGCCCAUCAGUCUGUGGGUGGUAUGCGGUACUAAAAUACAGCCUCGUACCCAAUUCCUCAUGAAAUUUCUUCUAGAAUCUAUAAGUGAAACGCCUAUCUCGAUCUGAGACAAUUGAGAUCCGCACCCCAUGCCGUGAUACCACCUCCCUCACGUAUAUCUCUGCCAGUCUCUCCGCAGAAGAGCUCUCACUAAUAGCAAGGAAAUGAGUGCUCUUCGUCAACCUGUCCACAAUCACCCAAAUUGCAUCGACGCCUAUCGCAAUCCUUGGCAAUUUGGUGAUGAAAUCCAUGGUAAUCUGUUCCCAUUUUCACUCGGGAAUCUCUAACGGCUGCAGCUUACCAUGUAGACACUGGUGCUCGGCCUUAACCCUGCGACAGGUCAGGCAUCUCUCUACAAACCAUGCGACAUCCCUCUUCAUACAGGGCCACCAAUACUCCAUUUUACAGUCCAAAUACAUCUUAGUGGCCCCGAGAUGGAUCGAAAACUUCGAUCGAUGAGCCUUUUCCAUCAAAAUGGUAUGCAUCCCUCCCACAAACGGUACCCAUAUACGACCCUGAAAUGUCAAAAGUCCUCGACUAUCAGUAACGAACUCUGAUACUUGCCCGAUCACCCGCUCCCUUUUGCCGUUCCCCGGUCUCACGACCUCCACCUGGGCCCCUCGAAUGGUAUCCAACACCGGAGUCAUCACUGUCAAUCUCAUACAAACGUCUCGUAUCGGGGCGCUCUCCGCCCUACGGCUCACAGCAUCGGCUACAACAUUAGCCUUGCCCGAAUGGUACAGGAUCUCACAAUCAUAAUCCUUUACUACAUCCAACCAUCUCCUCUACCGCAUGUUCAGAUUGGGCUGAUCCAUCAAAUACUUCAAACUCUUGUGGUCCGUGUAUAUGGUACACCGAACCCCAUACAGAUAGUGGCUCCAGAUCUUGAGGGCGAACACUACCGCCCCCAACUCCAGAUCAUGAGUGGGAUACCUCACCUCAUGAGGCUUCAGAUGCCUCGAUGCAUAUGCUAUCACAUGCCCCCUCUGCAUAAGCACCGCACCUAACCCUAAUAUCGAUGCGUCGCAAUAAACCACAAAAUCAUCAACUCCCUCUGGAAGGGAUCACAUCGGGGCUUCACAUAGCUUUUGGCGAAGAGUCUCAAACAAGGUUUGCUGCUCCGGACCCCAUGAAAAAGCAACACCCUUCCAAGUCAACCUAGUGAGUGGCACUGCAAUUUUGGAGAAAUCCUGAAUGAAUCUCCGAUAAUAACCGACCAACCCCAGAAAACUCAUGAUCUCGGAGGCAGACUUCGGUACCUCCCAGCUCCUCACCGCCUCAAUCUUAGCCGGAUCGACCAAAAUCCCAUUAUGGUUAACGAGAUGCCCCAGGAACUGGACCUCCCGUAACCAGAAAUCACCUUGGAGAAUUUGGCAUAAAGCCUCUCCGAUCUCAACACCUCAAGAACCUCUCUCAAGUGUUCCUCAUGCUGCUCUCGAGAUCUAGAAUAUACCAGGAUAUCAUCAAUGAACACAAUCACCGAUCGAUCCAACAUCGGCCUACAUACUCUGUUCAUGAGAUCCAUGAACGCUACUGGCGCAUUGGUGAGCCCAAAAGGCAUAACCAGGAACUCAUAGUGUCCAUAACGCGUCCUGAAUGCCGUCUUCUGGAUAUCCUCAUCGCGCACCCUCAUCUGAUGAUAUCCAGACCUCCAAUCAAUCUUGGAGAACCAAGAUGCCCCCUGCAGCUGAUCAAACAAAUCAUCAAUCCUUGAUAACGGAUAACGGUUCUUAACCGUUAACUUGUUCAACUCCCGGUAAUCGAUCCACAUCCGGUGUGAACCAUCCUUCUUCUUAACGAAGAGAAUCGGCGCUCCCCAAGGCGAGCUGCUCAGAUGAAUGAACCCCUUCCCUAACAGCUCCUGCAGCUGUGAGAAUAACUCUUGUAUCUCUGGUGGUGCUAGGCGAUAAGGCGCCUUAGCGAUAGGCGUGGCCCUGGAAAUCAAAUCGAUGUGAAACUCCACCUGCCUCUCGGGAAGCACACCCGGCAACUCCUCGGGAAAUACAUCCGGGAACUCACGCACUAUCGGGACAUCAUCAACUGAACUUAGCAUCCCAAUGGCCUCCCGCGCAUCCAUCACAUAAGCUACGAAUCCCUUGCAGCCCUGCUGCAAACUCUGCCUCGCUCUGGCAGCCGAACAGAAUGUUGACCCACUACGAGUUCCCUCACCAUAAACCGUCAGCACUCCCCCACUAGGAUUUCGGAUAGUCACCAGCUGCUGCUCGCAGUCUAUCACCGCCCCAACAUGGCUCAUCCAAUCCAUGCCCACGAUAACGCACACAUCCCCCAUCGCAAUCGGAACCAGAUCUAUCGGAAAUCCAAUGCCGAAGAUCUCUAGCACACACCCCGGAAUCACAUCCGUGGCAUACACUACUCGUUCGUCAGCUAUAGAAACACGCAAAGGUCGACUCAUCACCUCUCGUUGGGUACUGAUGUGUCUAUAGAAUGCUAAUGACACAAACGACCGACUCGCACCAGAGUCAAAUAACACCAAAACAGAUACAGAAUUCACAAGAAAAGUACCUAUGCAUAACAUAAUAUAAACACAAAAUCUCAUAACAACAUAAAUAAACAUGAACAGAAUACAUACCAGCCACGACGUCGGGUGCUGCAAGGACCUCCUCCGCUGUCAGCUGGAACGCUCUCCCUCGCGCCUUCGGCACCUCGACCUUUACCGGCCGACCCUUAAUGGCUCUCGCAGUAGCAGGAGCAGAUCCCUGAGAGGCUCCCUGCAACUGUGGACACUCCGCCUUCUGGUGUCUAGUCUGGUUGCAAUGAAAGCAAACCAUGAAUCCCUUGAGGCAAUCCUUGGCGAUAUGCCCCUCCUUGCCACACUUGUAGCAAGCUCCCGAUCUACAAACUCCAUCAUGACCCUUGCCGCACUUCCCGCAAGUGCGGCCCUUCUGGCCCCCAGAUCUCGAAUCAGCGGACUUUCCCCGCUUGGCCAUCGGCUGAGAACAUGCCGGUCGACGAUCCCUACUCUGAGACUCGGCCUCCUACCUAGCCUGAGUCUCCAGCUCAAUCUCCCUCUUCCGGGUAUUUGCCUGGAGCUCAGCAAAUGUCCAAUACGAUGAGUUCGCCACGAACUCACGAAUGUCUCUCCUCAAAAUGCUCAGAUAUCGGCUCAUACGUGCCUGCUCGGUCGACACAUGCUCAGGGCAGAACAUCGCCCUCUCAUGAAACAUCCGGGUAAUCACGGUAACUGACUCGGUACCCUGGUUGAGGAUCAAGAACUCCUGAGCCAAAUGCUCCCGUUCCACCAGGGGAACAUACUCAUCACGAAACAUAGCGGUGAACCUCUCCCAGGUCACCGUAGCAAGCUCUGCUGGAGAAAAAUACGUUGUCACGAACUUCCACCAAUCCUUCGCCCCCAAGCGAAGCUGGUUCAACGCGAACCGAACUCUUAGAGGCUCUGGACAUGAACAUGUGUAAGAGCACCUCUCAAUGUCUGAGAUUUACCUCAUCACGGCUAUCGGAUCCCGAGUCCCAUCAAACUCUGGUGGCUUCGUGUUGCUGAACUCCCGCUACAACAACANCCCCUUGUGGCCUGGCAGCAGCAACGGCCGCAGUGGCAGCAGCAACAACAACAUUAAUAAGGGCAGCAUAUCGCUCAUCAAAGGUCUCAAUCAGGGUGGUCUUGAUAGACCCGAACAUCUCUGGAAUCUCAACUCGGAUGGCAGCAGCCACCUCAUCAUGAAUCAUCUGGCGGAGCUCCUCGUCGCUCACACCUCCCUCGCGGGUCUCUGGUCUAUGACGCGUCCCAACCAUGAUGUCUCUGAAAUACAACAUAAAAAUAUCAGAGACUCGCUCGAGUGUACUCACACUUGAUAACCCAACCCUACUCGAUUCCUAGAACCCGAAGGAUUCCUACUUGGGCUGCACACUGAUCCGGUGUUUCCAGUAGUACGGGCCCAAUACUACCUUCCACACUGUAUCAGUAUUCAUCUCAAGUCAUCCUCCAAGGAUCCGAAGUCCCAAGUACUCUAUCUCUUUCCACACGUAAACUACCCUUCGAUAGGCUCUCAUUGCACCUCACUGCUACCUACUCACUCUAAAUCAUCUCAUGGCAGCAGAAAUCUUCCUAGGCUAAGGCAUCACAAAUCAGGCCACUCUAGUCCUAAUAUGAAUACCUAGCCUAUUCUAGCAUGCAUAACACAUUUCAACAUAUCUCAUAACACCAAAUGUAAGGGUAUUUUGGGAAAUCACUGUUCGGGCGAUGGCUGAUCGUACACACUGCUUUCUCGUGUACCUUUCAAAUUCUUUUACUCUUUUUAGAAAAAUUGUUUGUUUAUUGAAAUUUUUCUCAAAUCCUCAGUUUGAGUUCAAAUACACCCGAAAGUGAAUCCGAAUCCCUCAAACCAAGGCUCUGAUACCAAUUUGUAACACCCUUAAAAUUUCAAUCAAUUUUGUUUCAAUUUAUUUUAAUAAAACAUUUCACUUCCAAAUCAUUCAAAAAUCAAAUAUCCAAUAUCCUCUCAAAAUACAUAACAAAAUCCAUAUCCCAAGAUCUCAAAAAGAAACAUGUCAUCUGCAAGUGUGUACUGCUCAAGCUGGCGCCUUCCCGUGGUCAUCACUGGUACCUGAAACACACAUCACACAAACGGUAAGCAUAAAUGCUUAGUGAGUUCCCCAAAAUACCACGUAUAGCACAUACGCCCUUCCAAGCCUUAGGAUCUUCCAAUUCAAGUGUCUCAGGGGAUUUCCAUCAUGUAGCUUUGUUGACCUUCAGGUCCAUAUCAUCUUGACCUUCCGGUCCACAUCAUCAUUCUCAUAUCAUAACAUAUCACAUAUAACAUGCAUCAUAUAUACAUCAUAAACAUAAGACCUUCCAGUCACAUAUAAUUACCCAAUCGGGUACGGCAUAGUGAGAAAACUCACCUUACUGAUGUCGGAUAAUCACUCGUGCUUGAUCUCCCGACCUCUCGUCCUCCUAUAUCAUAAGUGCAUCUCUAAUUAAUACUUUUCCUGGCUUAUUUUGUCUAACACUAACAAGUC